GAUGAACGCUGGCGGCGUGCUUAACACAUGCAAGUCGAACGAAGCGCGGGAACGGAAGCCCUUCGGGGCGGAAGGUCUCGUGACUGAGUGGCGGACGGGUGAGUAACGCGUGGGUAACCUGCCCCAUACAGGGGGAUAACAGCCGGAAACGGCUGCUAAUACCGCAUGCACAUGCGGGGGCGCAUGCCCCUGUAUGGAAAGCUUUUGCGGUAUGGGAUGGGCCCGCGUCUGAUUAGGCAGUUGGCGGGGUAAAGGCCCACCAAACCGACGAUCAGUAGCCGGCCUGAGAGGGUGGCCGGCCACAUUGGGACUGAGACACGGCCCAA
rnacentral:rRNA from 1 species